GUUUUCUGAUUCUAAGACUUAAAAAAGCCUAACUUUUAGUAUUUUUUUUUCUUUAUAAAUCUUCCCUCCCCAGCUUUCUGUGGCUUUACUCUGGGCUUGUGUAACUUGCUUUUGGCUGAUUGGUCUUGAGUUAAAGAUUAUGUCUGGAGGUGGGGAGGAGGUCCUCUUGGUUUUUCAGCUAAUCCCUUUUUAAGAAAUUGUUAUGUGUGCCUAAAAAACUACAUACGAAAUACACAGAAAUGUCAGCUAAUGACAUCAGUCAGUUGACAGAAGAGACAGUACCAAGUAUAGCUACCCACAAACCAAACUAGCCCUGGGAGGAUUCAAGGACCCAUUUAAAAAUCUGGAGCAAAACAAAGAAUAUCCACAUAUAAAAGGUUGCUGGUGGGACUGGAUACUUGACAGGCAGAAAGCUAAGAAGAAAAGUAGAGGCUGUGGGUAUAAACCACCUGUUCUGCUUCACUAAGGACACCAGCAUCUUUUUGCACAAAGUUAAUAGACAUUUCCACUAGAGCAGAGAGAGUCCCCAAACCCCUUUACUUCAUGAAGCAACCAGUAUAUGCCAAUCUAAGAUGAGAGCUGCCAUCUUUCCCAACCCUGAAUGUACCUAGUGCUUAAACCUGUGACCUCUGUGCAAAUACAUUCUAUAUAUGGGCUCUGUACGAUACCCACACACACUUCAGACAUGGGAGCCAUUGCCAUAGCAAGCUAGUUUGUACCCUGUCCUCAUGUCAGUGCUCCAGACACCAGGUUCAACUGCCACUGAAAGCUAGACCAUGCUCCAGACCCUGGUUCCAAGGCUGUGCAGCACACCCACAUCUCAAACACCAAAGCUACUACUACAGCAAAGGUACUCACUCCUAUGAUCCUAAAGCCACUGUCUCCUCGUAUAUGCCCAGACACCAGCUCAGCCACCACAGAGAACUAGGCGUCACCUUGAUCUCAGGCACUAUAGCCAUGUGCACACACAUGCUCUUACCUCCAGUUCCCUGGCUGCUUCAUAAGCACCCACUUAUCAACUCAUCAGCUGGAAUGCCUGACUCUGGGAGCCUGUGCCAUUACAUCCUCAACCUCUGACCAUGGUCCCUCCACAUGGACCCAUGCUUUGGGCUAUUGCUCCAUAGGAGUUCCACAGGUGUCACUAACCAGACACCUGUGCCACUGCCACCACAAGUGGGUCCACAAACUUUAACAAAUUGACUGCUAAAGACAAAAUUAUUAAAAGUGGUAGCUACUAGAGAUAAGACUCCCCUCAUUGCUUGUAGACCCGAAACUGGACACUAAAGAGAAGAAACCUGGAUGCAAAAAGGCUGAUGCCAGUAAAUAGGUGGGACCCAAAAUAGCGGCCCAGAAGGAGGCAGCAGUCUAUGUCACUCUGUGACCUGGGAUCCAAGUUGUGAGAAUACUACUCUGCCAGGAAGCAGCGUACCUGUCCAGGCCUCAGUGUCAGAGUAGGUCUCCCAACUAUAUGCCCAUGCUGGACUACUGGGUUCCCCAAGAGAGACCUUUGGUGGCAGCAGCAGCACCCACGAAGAACUUUUGGCCACCCACCCAAGCAGAAAUCAUGGAUGCCACUCCCACACAGGACACCCGGCAGCUUCCCGUGAGUAGGAACUGUCGAGAUGCCACUAUCCCUGUGUGGACCCCCAUCUACCAAUGUGGGGCUCCACCAGUGGCUGCCAUCUUGGGACUCUCCAUUUUUUUUCAGAGCUUGAUAUUAGCAGCAGACAUAACCCCUAAGUGCAGUAGCCUGCCUGCAUCAGGGAACUUCACACAGGCUUUGAAGUCAGCUGACACUACAAGCCUCAGAGCUUGCCACUGAACUCAUUAUCGAACACCAUCGCUGGACUCCGCACUCGAACUGACACUCCACCACUGAAUGCAGGAGCCUCUAUCUUGGGUCACCUUCAUCACCAUCUUCCAGUUUCUAACAACCCCCUCUCCCCAGCAGCCGCUAACCUGGCGCAAUGACACCUGGUUACCUUCACCUUCCUGAGGCGGAGAUACCAGCUAACAACAGAUGACCCCAUCUAUUGGAUGAGAAGGGAAGCAGGAAAGAUACUGACCUCCCAUCAAAACAAGUCCUAUGCCUUCCUUCAAGAUUUUUUUUUUUCUUUUUUUCCCCCUCUCCCUCUCCUUUCUCCGGCCCUCACAUCCCCAGUAUGUGUGAAACCAAAUACUUUACAUGAAUUAGGAUUUGGGGGACUGGGAUGUAUGAAUAGUAUAUUAUAGUUGUGUUGUACAUUCUUUUUAAUUUUGUUAAUUUUUUCCUCACUAAUUUCUGCUAUUUUAACAUUUUAAAUUUUUCUUGAUAUAUAUGUGUGUUUGUUUUAUGUACUCUACUUUCUUCCCACUUACUGUCUACCCAAAUUUACUUCCUCUCCUU
rnacentral:lncRNA from 1 species